rnacentral:rRNA from 1 species
GAUAUGUGAAUACAUAGCAUAUCAGAAGGCACACCCGGAGAACUGAAACAUCUUAGUACCCGGAGGAAGAGAAAGAAAAUUCGAUUCCCUUAGUAGCGGCGAGCGAAACGGGAAGAGCCCAAACCAAAAAGCUUGCUUGUUGGGGUUGUAGGACACUCUAUACGGAGUUACAAAGGACGACAUUAGACGAAUCAUCUGGAAAGAUGAAUCAAAGAAGGUAAUAAUCCUGUAGUCGAAAAUGUUGUCUCUCUUGAG